rnacentral:rRNA from 1 species
UGACGGGGGCCCGCACAAGCGGUGGAGCAUGUGGUUUAAUUCGAAGCAACGCGAAGAACCUUACCAGGUCUUGACAUCCUCUGACAACCCUAGAGAUAGGGCUUCCCCUUCGGGGGCAGAGUGACAGGUGGUGCAUGGUUGUCGUCAGCUCGUGUCGUGAGAUGUUGGGUUAAGUCCCGCAACGAGCGCAACCCUUGAUCUUAGUUGCCAGCAUUCAGUUGGGCACUCUAAGGUGACUGCCGGUGACAAACCGGAGGAA